rnacentral:lncRNA from 1 species
AACUGAGAGGACUACAAGCAGAGCAUACAUUUGCUGACAGUGGAACCAGGUACAGGGAGAAACACAAAGGAGUAGAAAGAACUUUUCAGCAAGUGGCUCAAAUCUUGAGUUCAGUACACACCAUGUUGUUUGCGGGACAAUGUACUAACUUGGUAGAUAUUUUUUCUCUCCCGAUGUCUCUGAUUCCUACGUGUUCAUUGGAUCAAUUUAAUUAUUCUCUCGUUGUCUUCUUUCUGUAUGUUCUGGCAUCUAUUCGUAUCUUCACAUAUGAAGGAGGAAAUAUCAAAGUGUGCACACGAAUUACCGAACCUUGGUAACUGCUCGUGAGGCUGUAUACUUUGUUAUAUAAGGAAAUCAUUAUUGUACAGGUGAAGGUUGGCGGAGAAUUUAGUUCU